AAUGAACGCUGGCGGCAUGCCUAACACAUGCAAGUCGAACGAAGGCUUCGGCCUUAGUGGCGCACGGGUGCGUAACGCGUGGGAAUCUGCCCUUGGGUUCGGAAUAACAGUUAGAAAUGACUGCUAAUACCGGAUGAUGUCGUAAGACCAAAGAUUUAUCGCCCAAGGAUGAGCCCGCGUAGGAUUAGCUAGUUGGUGGGGUAAAGGCCUACCAAGGCGACGAUCCUUAGCUGGUCUGAGAGGAUGAUCAGCCACACUGGGACUGAGACACGGCCCAGACUCCUACGGGAGGCAGCAGCGGGGAAUAUUGGACAAUGGGCGAAAGCCUGAUCCAGCAAUGCCGCGUGAGUGAUGAAGGCCUUAGGGUUGUAAAGCUCUUUUACCCGGGAUGAUAAUGACAGUACCGGGAGAAUAAGCUCCGGCUAACUUCGUG
rnacentral:rRNA from 1 species